GGGGAAUUAGCUCAAAUGGUAGAGCCUUCGCUUACUGUGCAAAAGUCAUGGGGAUUGAUACCUUAAUUCCCCA